UUCCCACAAUUUUCAAAUAUAUAUAUGUUUUUUUAAAUCUUUGGGCUCUUUUCAAAAAUUGAGUUUCUGUGGUUUUUGUCAUUGAGUACAGUGCACGAAUAUAUCCCGGGAUCUGUUAAGUGAACUGUGGACAUUUGGUGACAUGGCAACAGAACAAAGUGCACAACUAACAGAUGUUCAAAAGUCCAUGAAGGAUCUCAUGGAGGCUCAGAAGGAUCUCAUGGAGGCUCGGGAGCAUCUCAUGCAGGAGAGGGAUCAUUUCUCCUUGGAAGUUGAAGAAAUGGAGAAGGCUCUUGAGGAGGCAGAGCAGCUUUUAUUGGAGUAGAUACUGUAUAAGUGUGUGCUUGCUUUUAAUGUAAAUGUAAUGAUAAAACAUUUAGUAUAUUUCACCUAACUCAAUUUAAAUUGUUAAUACUUGCAAAAAUACUUAUUUGAUUUGUCUGGAAGACUCCAAAUUUAAAAGCGGUUGGAAUGCCAGUGUUAUUUUAGCCUGGGUACCAGGGUCGUCACUAGUUGCCACUAGUUGCCACAGUCAUAAACCCCUACAUACAGAAUUAAUACAAUUUCUCUUAAAAUCUGAUUUUAAACCUAAUAGCACUGCUAACAUUAUGUAUAUCACUAUUUUUUUUUUUUCAUGAAUUUUGACUGGAAACCUGGUACCAGUCUCUUUAGCUAAUCCAUUCUUCCCUGUAUUCUCUCUGGUUACAUGUGUUCACUGCAGAGGCCCAUUGGAGAUUUGACAACAAUAGAACGUUGCGUUUUUUAUUUUUAUUUUUUUACCUGUGCCUUGAUGUUCAUAACACUCCACCAACCUGCUCUUGCGCAGUGGAACCCUGAACGAUAUGUGACCACUUGGUUACAGUGACAUCAUUCUGCCGAGGACACCCAAACCAGUGGCCACCGUAAAGCCUAAGAGCCUCACCGUCUCUGGAAGUUGCGGUAGCCCUGCUUGGAAUCUUUAGCCUAUAUUGACUAUUGGUUGAGACGCAGGGCCAGUUAGGGUAGGCUAUGUCAGGAUUUAAUUGGAAAUGUUAAUUGGGACAAGUUGGAAGAAAUAAUACAUUUAGGUUAUAGUUUGAGAUGCAUGAAUACACCACACCAAAAGCUUGAUUUUUAUGGCUGUUUUAAAAUGAAUUUUCUGCAAUUCUACGUAGUAAUGACUUAUGUUCACAACUUGGUCAAUUGAUUUGAUUAAAUCUAAGCAAAUAAAUUAUAUGAAUUGAUA